rnacentral:rRNA from 1 species
AGAGCGUAGGGAGAAUGCCUUGGCAUUAGGAGCCGACGAAGGACGUGAUAAGCUGCGAUAAGCUGCGGGGAUCAGCAAGUAUGAAUUGAUCCGCAGAUUUCCGAAUGGAGCAAUCCGUAUGUGUAUGCACAUACAUCAUAUACUGAAUCAAAUAGGUAUAUGAGGGGAACCGCCUGAACUGAAACAUCUAAGUAGGGCGAGGAAGAGAAAUCAACCGAGAUUCUGUGAGUAGUGGCGAGCGAAAGCGGAAGAGGCUAAACCAUAGGUAGCAAUACUUAUGGGGUUUCGGACAGCAUUUAGUAUUGAUAAUUUCUAGUUGAAACGUGUGGGAAAACGUACCGAAGAGUGUGAGAGUCACGUAAGCGAAAGAGAAAGUCAACGAGCUGUAUCCAAAGUACCGCGGGACACGUGAAACCCCGUGGGAAGAUGGGGGGACCAUCCUCCAAGCCUAAAUACUACCUAAUGACCGAUAGCGAAUAGUACUGUGAAGGAACGGUGAAAAGAACCCCGGGAGGGGAGUGAAAAAGAACCUGAAACCCUAUGCUUACAAGCACCGAGAGCACGUCAAAGUGUGAUCGGGUACCUUUUGUAGAAUGGUCCGGCGAGUUAUUGUAUGCGGCAAGGUUAAGUGCUUAAGGCACGGAGCCGAAGCGAGAGCAAGUCUGAACAGGGCGAGUAAGUCGUAUGCAAUAGACCCGAAACCGAGUGACCUAUCCAUGUCCAGGCUGAAGUGGAGGUAAAACUCCAUGGAGGGCCGAACACACGUCCGUUGAAAAGGCCGGUGAUGAGGUGUGGAUAGCGGAGAAAUUCCAAUCGAACUCGGAUAUAGCUGGUUCUCUCCGAAAUAGCUUUAGGGCUAGCCUCGUGAAAGAUUACUGGAGGUAAAGCACUGAAUGGGCUAGGGGUCGAAAGAUUACUGAACCCUAUCAAACUAAGAAUGCCAGAUAAUUGAUUCACGGGAGUCAGACAAUGUGAGAUAAGUCUCAUUGUCAAAAGGGAAACAGCCCAGACCCACAGCUAAGGUCCCUAAACAUUGUUAAGUGGAAAAGGAUGUGGGGUUGCAUAAACAACCAGGAUGUUGGCUUAGAAGCAGCCACUCAUUAAAAGAGUGCGUAAUAGCUCACUGGUCGAGUGACCCUGCGCCGAAAAUUCAACGGGGCUAAACAAUGUACCGAAGCUUGGGAUUCUAAAGUAAUUUAGAGUGGUAGGAGAGCGUCGAAUAAGGGGUGAAGUCAGAGCGGAAGCGCUGGUGGACUUUAUUCGAGUGAGAAUGCCGGAAUGAGUAGCGAGAAUUAUGUGAGAAUCAUAAUGGCCGAAAAUCUAAGGUUUCCUGAGGAAGGUUCGUCCGCUCAGGGUAAGCCGGGGGCUAAGGCGAGGCGGAGACGCGUAGCCGAUGCACAUACGGUUGAAAUUCCGUAGCCACCGAAAGAUUUAAGUACAGGGACGCUUUAGAAGUGAUGUAGCCGGGCGAUGGUUGACCCGGUCGUAAGGGAUCGAAAAUGAGUAGAGAAGUCAUCAUGGAAAGAGACAAGAAAAGCUGUAUGGAUAUCUUAGGUGCCCGUACCGCAAACCGACACAGGUAGAUAGGAAGAAGAUUCUAAGGCCAACGGGAGAAGGGUUGUUAAGGAACUCGGCAAGUUGACCCCGUAACUUAGGGAUAAGGGGUGCUCAAGUGAUUGAGCCGCAGAGAAUAGGCCCAGGCGACUGUUUAGCAAAAACACAGGUCUCUGCUAAAUCGAAAGAUGACGUAUAGGGGCUGACACCUGCCCGGUGCCGGAAGGUUAAGAGGAGAUGUGAGAGCAUUGAAUUGAAGCCCCGGUAAACGGCGGCCGUAACUAUAACGGUCCUAAGGUAGCGAAAUUCCUUGUCAGGUAAGUUCUGACCCGCACGAAAGGUGUAACGAUCUGGGCACUGUCUCAACAACCCGCCCGGCGAAAUUGUAGUACCGGUGAAGAUGCCGGUUACCCGCGACUAGACGGAAAGACCCCAUGGAGCUUUACUGUAGCCUAAUAUUGGAUUUCGGUAUUUCACGUACAGGAUAGGUGGGAGACUGGGAAGCACAGGCGUCAGCUUGUGUGGAGUCGACCUUGGGAUACCACUCUUGGAGUGCUGGAAUUCUAACCUGCGGCUUUGAAGCAAGUCGGGGGACAUUGUUAGGUGGGCAGUUUGACUGGGGCGGUCGCCUCCUAAAGAGUAACGGAGGCGCUCAAAGGU